GUCAAUUUUCAUGAUAUGGAGUGGAGAACUUCAAGGACCGGUCUGUGCGGAUGGAACUCACUGGCAGUUCUUGCUAGAAAAGCUCCCUGUGAAAGAUAGUCCACAUUCGGAGCAGGGAAAAGAUGUUCCACAAAAUGUACACCUGGACAUACUGCCCACAUAACCGACAUAUUGAAACAGUCUAAAAUGCACAGAGAUCUAUAUUACAUGUACAUUCUGGCAAUGGAAAAUAUAUUUCUCUAGAAAAUAUACAAAUGUAGGCACUCAUCUAUUGUAUGGGAAAGCCACCUCCUGAAAAAAGAUUACAUAUAGCAUGUAUAUCCAUCAUAUAUAAAAAUUCAUUUACAUGUAUAAAAAUUCAUUUACAGUACAGUCCUGCACCAACUUAGAUACAUGAGUAUAUACACUGUAAAAGCCAUAUAAAAUCAGUACAUGGACAAUGCAUCCAGAUAAUAAUUAUAAUACUAGAUACUAAUAGUAUAUCUUAUUAUUAAGAUAUCCACAUUUUAAAACUUCAUGGAAAUAUAUCAUGUUAUUAUAUAUACACAAAGUGCAUACCAACUGAGUACAUGAAAAAUAUAUUCUGUGAAUUACAUUUGCAUACAUGUUGUAUGUGUACCAAAUACAUUGAAGUACAUACUUUGGGUUCACAUAGUAUUGUAUUUAUAGUACACACUUCUCUGCCAAUAUUAAAAACAGUAUCAGGAGGAAGCCCAAGCAUUAGCAAUGACAUUCCCCAUCAGCAGAAGCUCUUUUCUAUCCUUCUGAACUUUCUAUUAUUUGUCUUUUCAAAACCCCCUCUACAUCUACACGGAUUAUUUAUAUCAGUGGUCUCCUGUCUCUGUUUAACUGUUGCCUCUCUUGUUUGAGGUCAGGGUCUAUAUUUUGAGCCCUAAGUCCUGUUUGCAGCAGGGUCUAACUGCACAAUCAUGCCUGCAUGGAAUUAGCAUUGUCUAAUUACUUUAUCCCUUCUAUCUUAGCAUUUGUUCUUCUGGACCGACUGUAAAUAUCCAGUUACUCUGGUUUGCCAGAGUGCAGCAGCCAGGAGAGGUGUGUAACAGACAGGUUCCGAGUGUAUGCUGGCCAUACAAGGGCUCCUUGAAGGGUGAGAAUUAACUUUUUAAAAAUUUACUUUCAAAAUUCAAGUCUAGGAAGCAGUAUGAAGUAAAGACCAGACCUUGUCUUCUAUGUUCCUCUCUAAUCCCAUAGCAGCCCCACUCUGCCCAGCCAACCAGGAAGAGGACUCUGGCCUGCCCAGCUUCUGGACUCCAGUUUCCAACCUCAAUCUUGGCCAGGUCUAUCCAAGCAACCAGGAAAUUUUAUCCCAUAAUCCAAGUUUUUCUCAACAAAACCCACUCCCAGUGCUUUUCCAGAGGCAGUGAUAACUUAAAGCAUUUUGGGGGGCUGAGCAAAUUCUGAUUUGGUCCCCUAAAAAUUAGGUCCACUUGGGUCCUUCUUUAGUAGCUAAAAAUCCGGGACUAUCUGACACAUACCUAUGGAAACAUUCUUUGAGAGACCACACACUCACACCCAGCAGAGAUAUUGUUUAUGAGUCAAUGGGUUCCGUGUAGAUUCGGCCAUAUUUUACUGUCCAAGGGAAUCAAUUAAUUAGUGCCUCCCCACUCCCCACACCCUCCGCUGCUUGGCUGAGCCUGCCUGAGCGGCGGAGAUAGAUGUACGUGGCCAGCUCGCUGGUCUUGUUAACAAGCCUCGUCAUAAAGAUGGAGAUGAUAAGAAGAGCAAGGAAGCCCUGGUGGCCGUGAGGGGGGACUUCGAGGGCCCAGCCCAAGGGUCUGUGGGGCAGCAGCAGGUCGGAGCCAGAGCGAUGUAGGAACCAGAGCCGUGUAGCACCGAGGAUCGAGGAGGUGGUCGGAGAGAGACCACCGAGGAUCCGGUGUAUCCAGGGAUUUUCCCUUCUAGGGCUGAAACGCUGUAACUCGAAUAAUUCCCUCUCCCCUCCCCCUCCUUGAGUUUUCCCUUUUUAAAAUCAAGCCUCAAAUUUUAAAAAAUUAGAAAAAAAAAUAAAGAUACAUAAACCUCUGUCCAUGAGUGCCUGUCUUGCCCUCCACCACGUUUGUUCAGGAACCUGCCGCUUUCUCCUUUCCCCGCAUUUCUCUGCGUGGUCCUUUUUCAUCUCCGUCUGGCGCUCUCUUCCCUCCUUAGGCUCGCUCUCUGGCUUCAAGCUUGCUUUUUCUACCAAGUUGAUACUGGCUCAGGCCCCAGUGAGCUUGUAAAAAUAAUAAUACAGAUACCCCUGCUUAUCUCUCAGCAGAGUAAACACCCCUAGAUAAGCCCAAAGGAAAACAAAAAAACAAACAAAAACAGCAACAAAACAUUCCCCUCCCCCCCAAAAAAAAACCCUUGGAUGUAAUUGCUGGUUUGGGUUGCAGCACUUAAUUCUGUUUAUUCUUACCAAUGUGGACACUGAACAGAGAGAUAUUGAUAUUAGUAGGCAAGGGGGAAUUAAUUUUACUUUUAUAGUCAUCUAUUAAGAGCAGAGAGCGAUCUGAAUCUACUUUAACGGGACCAAAAGGGGGAGGUGGAGAGAGAGAAAGGGAGGGGGAGGGGAGAAAUAUGACUGAAGGCAAACAAAGAUCUUUGCCUGAAGAAACAGUGUAACACUAGACAGAACUAUAAAGUCUAGGAAUGUAAGAACGCAGGCUCUCUCAGCUUCCCCCAUUUGGAAUCCCUGUCCCUUGCACUUCCUGGUGAAAUCUCAACCUGACUACCCAGCAGUAUUCCAGGAAGGAUUCAAGCAAUUAUCCGGAUAAUUGUAGGGGGAGAGAGAAACCAUUUCCUUUUGAUGGUCUGAUCCUCUCUGGUGUCUGUGCAGAGGGGGGUAUAAGGAGAAAAGGAGGUGGUAGGGUCUCCCAGUAUGACCCAUCCCCUACAAGAUGGCUACUCCUAAACCACGGAGGUCCUUGGCAAGUUUACAGAUUCUGAAACAUACUCAAGAAAGGACAGUCUCACUUUCAUUUUUCAGCAUAUUUCCUUGGCUUUACUUUGUCUGCAUAGAUCUGCCUCAUCCAGUAUUGUAAUUAUCACAAGUAAGCAAAUAAUAGAUAAUUAUAGGGGUGUCCAUAAUAUCAUUUAUUUUAUAGCCACACAAGAUAUGAUUACAGUUAAUGUUGGAGGCUUUGUUGGAGCCUGGGAGGCAACAAGAGGCAAAGCAGAGAGGCCUGAAUAAUCUAUCUCUUUUCUAUCUUUAUGUCUGUGGGAAUAUCCAAAUCCCUAUUUCUCUAAAUUCCCUCCCCAAAUGCCUUAAGUGAAAUAUCUAGGAUUUUACAGGCUGAAAGCUCAGAGAAAGGCAAACAGCAAUUUACUUCUUAAACCUUCCCCUAAGUCUCAAGAGCAGUGGUCUCUGCUCUCCCCAUAACCCUCCCAAACAAGAGCUUCACCCUCAGUUCAAGACCCCUGGGGUCACAGAGACCUGGAAGGUGAGGCCAGUGACAGGAAGACAAAGUCCUCCAAGUUCAUUGCCAUCCUCAAGUGGGCACUGGGCCCAGAAUGAAGCCCCUUUGAUCCCAAACUUGCCUUCUUUCCUGGACCCUCUUCCUCAGGGAUACCUGGAAGGGGGCAGAAGCCAGGUGAGGGCCAUGGAGGUCAGUGGGGGUGGGGAUGGGAAAGUAUUGAAAAUAUUAUUUCCUGUUCCCGAGAUUCAAAAGAUCAGGAAAGAAGAGAGAAUGAGAUUGCAUCAGAGAGGCCAGGAAACAGAAUCAAGGGAAGCCGUGAAACCAGAGGCAAGAAUCAAAAGAAUGAGUGAUAGGAAAGGGGGGGGGGGGUGUGAGGAGAGAAGAACAGCAGGGGGAGAAAAGGAAGGAAGGAAGUAAAAAAGAAAGGGUAGGAAAAGGGGAAGAAAAGGAGAGGAGGGGGAAGAAAGAAGUGAGAGGGGAAAGAAAAGGAGAGACAUUUGACAGAGAAAGAAAGGAAGCAGGGAGGCAGCGGCCAGGGUCGCCUGGGCGCUGCCUGGCAGCCUGCAGCGGUCUGGGUGGGCGGGGGGCGCCAAGACAAAGUGAAGGUCAAGUUAGCAUCGUACCUUAUAAGGAAGGCGUCGGUCCUCCAUUUCAGCCUUUCUUUCUGCCGGGACGUGGCCGGUGGCAUUUCUGGUUUUGUAAACACUGGAGUCUUAGGAGCCUUAAAGAAAAAUAAAGACCCCCCUCCUUCCUUUAUUGGGGGUGAGCUCGGCCGGCUGGGGGAAGCAGUGGACACAGAAGUCAACUAAUGAAGACUCGGGGAAACUUUCCUCUCCGGCUCCGCUCCCGCCAGCUGGGGCCCCCUCCCCCUCCCUCCG
ensembl:lncRNA